UGCGUCUCUCCUCCCUCGGGAACUGUGAGGCUUCUCUGUUUGCAUUUGCGUUUGCGUUUUCAGAACAGAACGUGCCGCCCUCGACUACUGUAUCUGCGUGGAAGACGCAAUGGCCUCAGGGUCACGCGGAGCCCGUGUUCCACGCUGUUUCUCUGACACUUUACUGAAGCUAUUGCGCUACCUUUCGCUUAUCUACAGGCAAAAUGUUCUGGACAAAAAAAAGACAGUUGAGCUGUCCCUGAAAGCACUGCCCUUGAGAAUAUAAUCAGUUAUUAAAACAAGAUUAAUAAGA